rnacentral:rRNA from 1 species
UACGUAGGCAGCAAGCGUUGUUCGGAGUUACUGGGCGUAAAGAGUGCGUAGGUGGUGCCCUAAGUCUGUUGUGAAAUCUCCCGUCUUAACUGGGAGGGUGCGGUGGAAACUGGGGUGCUUGAGUGUGGGAGAGGUAAGCGGAAUUCCUGGUGUAGCGGUGAAAUGCGUAGAUAUCAGGAGGAACACCGGUGGUGUAGACGGCUUACUGGACCACGACUGACACUGAGGCACGAAAGCGUGGGUAGCAAACAGG